rnacentral:rRNA from 1 species
CCUACGGCGGCUGCAGUGGGGAAUAUUGGACAAUGGGCGAAAGCCUGAUCCAGCCAUGCCGCGUGUGUGAAGAAGGCUUUCGGGUUGUAAAGCACUUUCAGUGGGGAAGAAAGCCUUGGGGCUAAUACCCUCGAGGAAGGACAUCACCCACAGAAGAAGCACCGGCUAACUCCGUGCCAGCAGCCGCGGUAAUACGGAGGGUGCGAGCGUUAAUCGGAAUUACUGGGCGUAAAGCGCGCGUAGGCGGUCUGAUAAGCCGGUUGUGAAAGCCCCGGGCUCAACCUGGGAACGGCAUCCGGAACUGUCAGGCUAGAGUGCAGGAGAGGAAGGUAGAAUUCCCGGUGUAGCGGUGAAAUGCGUAGAGAUCGGGAGGAAUACCAGUGGCGAAGGCGGCCUUCUGGACUGACACUGACGCUGAGGUGCGAAAGCGUGGGUAGCAAACAGGAUUAGAUACCCCUGUAGUC